AUGGACCCUUCCACCCCUUUUUCCCGUGCAUAUGCAUCGGACUCGGAUGACGAUGGUCCCGAUGAACAAGUUGAUGCAGAGGGGUUCACGGUGAAGGAGGCCGAAGCUUUCGAGAAGGUAUUUGGUCGGGAUCAUCGGACUACAUUGUUCAAGGAUGUUAGUCUCGCGGAUGAAGCCGUGGUAGAUGGUGGCCAAUGUGUACCUCUUGGGGUUAGGCCAAGCUCUUAU
rnacentral:rRNA from 1 species